rnacentral:lncRNA from 10 species
CAGCCUCUCAGCAGCAGAUUGCUUUCACCUCUGAAGGGACGCAGCAUACAUUUACGUCUGAGGUACCUGAACAACCUUGCUCAACUGCACACAGUCUUUUCAGGAAAAUCUGUUCAUUGCGCUCAAAAUUUUAGAGAAAGACAUGAGAAAUGAUGAAGAAGUGGAUGAUUGACAGAGAGUUCAGCUGAGUUUCAGUUUGGUGAGAGGAUGUCUAAUAUAGAGGGCACUCCAGGAGUGGGCCUAGCAGCCUUAGCUGGAUGAGGGGGUCCCAUGGAAGAGGAUUGCCUAACACAUGAUUCUGAACUUCAUCCUUACAGACCCGCGAAUGUGUUUCUCAACGACCUGGGGACCAUAUCCGAAAUGUCAUCAUCAAUGGAGAUGGCACCUACCUACCUCUCAGUUUCUGUGGGAGGGUAGCAGCCUAACUUUGCUGAGCAUUUGCACAUUGCCUGGAGGAUAUGGAGAGAGAGAGACCUGGAAGCUGAAGGAACAGGAAGGUCUUCGUGGACAAUAUGUCCAUGCAGCUGUGUCAUCUCCUAUAAUAACACCACCUCCUGCUGGAAUACCUCCUGAAGAACCUGCUUGAGGCUGUUUAAAAUGGUUAACUUUUUUUAUUUUUAAUAUAUAUGUAGAAGCAGACUCUAAAAUAAUGACAAAAGUAUGGUGUAGUAAAUGCAUAAACCAGAAACAUGGUCAUUUAUUAUCAGUAUUAAGUAUUAUGUACUGUAUAAAAUUGUACUGCUAUACUUUUAUACUACUACUAACACAGUAGGUUUGUUUACACCAGCAUCACCACAAACACAUAAGUAAUGCAUUGGGCUAGGACAUUAAGAUAGCUUGUCACCUAUUCUAUCAAUAUGUGAUAAAAAUUUUUCAGUUCCAUUUUAAUCUUAUGGAACCACUGCUGUCUAUGCGGCCUGUCGUUGACCCAAAUGUCAUUAUGUAGUGCAUAACUGUACUAAUACUAAGAAAAACUGAGUGUUUGUAUUUUAGAGUUAAGCACUGAUACGUUUACAAAUAAAAUAAUAUCUGACGUUUGUUUCAAAGGAAUCUGGAUAAGAGGAUAUGGUAAGAACAUAUAUGAAGUAAGAUUGACCAUGGGUUAAUAAUGUUUGAAGCUAAGUGGUAAAUAAUCUUUGUCCCAACCUUUGUGCAUAGUGGUUCUCAAAGAUGAUCCCUGCACUGGCAGCAACAGGAUCAUUUGAGAUCUUGUUUGAAAAGCAAACUCUGAGGAAACCACAUAUUUUGUAACCAAAACUCUGCACAUGAGGCCCAUUAGCCUGUGGUUUCACAAGCCCUUUAGGUAAUUUUGAUCCAAGCUAAUGUUUCUGAAUCACUGCUCCAGUAUAAAUAACAUAGAAUAUUGCAUGUAUUUGUAGAGACAUGACAUUUGUAUAUUUUUAAGUUAUCCAUAAUACAACGAAAAAUAAUGAAAACACCCAGGACAAAUGUUUCACUGGAAAAAUUUGAAUAAAGUUUGCAGACAUAAUUCUAAUCUUAAACACUUCCAAAAGACAGAAAAGGAUCUAUUCCCCAACCCAGUCUGAGAGUAGAAAAUCUUAGCCCUGGAAGUGAACAAAGAGUAUGAAAGAACUAUUAAAGCCAGUCUCACUUAUGAACAAAAGAUCCAGUAAUCUUAAGAAGUUAAGUAAAUCUAGCAUUAUGUAAAAAUAAUAAAAAUACAUCAGAACGAAGUUGUAUUUAUCCUAGAAAAUGAAAGUUGAUUUAACAUUAGAAACACUUUAAAAAGCAGGGAGGAUUAAAGGAGUUUGUUUAUUCUUAAUAUAUUCUGUUUGUUUAUUUCAGUGUUUUUAUAUGAGUAUCCUUAAAUUUUUAAACUGUGUUAAGAUGCAUGCUUAUACUUGUUUUACUUUUCUGACUGGAAGAUAAACCUAAAUAAAGGUUGUGAAAAAGAUCUUUAAAUAUUACAUUUAUUCUUGAAAUUCUUGUUAACUUUUAUAAUUGAUAGUUGAUAAACAAUUAGGAAGCAUAAGGCACAAUUCUAAUAAUUCUGCAACUUCCCCCUAGAUAUUCUUGAAAUGCUUAUAUCCAUUGGAAUCUGACAUUUAAAAAGUUCAAGAUUUUCAAUAAUUUAAUACACAAACGCUUAAAAGAGUAAAUAUAGUUGUGAUUAAGAGAAGUUUGGCAUUUAAAAAUCAUAGCAAACUGAAACUUUUCAUCUUUUCAUUUGUAACACAAAAUAUUAACUUAAAUGAUUUGAUUUUUCUUUUUCUUUUUCUUUUUUCUUUCUUUCUUUUUUUUCUUUUUCUUUUUUUCUUUUUUUUUCUGGGAUUACAGGCACAUGCCAUCACGCCUAGCUAAUUUUUGUAUUUUUAGUACAGACGGGAUUUCACCAUGUUGGCCGGGAUGGUCUCGAUCUCCUAACUCGUGAUCCUCCCGCCCCCGCCGGCCUUGCCUGGGUUUACAGGCGUGAGCCAUCUUGCCCGGCUGGUUUGAUUUUUCAAUAAAAAUGCAAUAAUUAUAAAUAAGGAAUAAAAAGAGUGUCUGUAUUAUAAAAUAUAAUAACUUUUAUUUUGCCUUUCGAUAUCCCUUUGGUUUCAAAACCAAAUGUAAUAUAAACUGUCAAUUUAAAAUUGAUUUAUUAACAAAUUAUUAUUUCCUUAUGUAAACAUUUAAUUAUUACACAUCUCUGUUAUUAAAUGGAAAAAGUUGAAGAUUGUAUGAAUAUUAUAGUUUAUGCAUGUUAUACAAUUAAAUACAUUAUAUAUAGUUUAAUAAAAUGGUAACCCCAAAUUUUAGAAAUAU